UACAGAGGGUGCAAGCGUUAAUCGGAAUUACUGGGCGUAAAGCGUGCGUAGUCGGUUAUCUAAGUCGGAUGUGAAAUCCCCGGGCUCAACCUGGGAAUUGCAUUCGAUACUGGAUAGCUAGAGUUUGGCAGAGGGAAGUGGAAUUUCGGGUGUAGCGGUGAAAUGCGUAGAUAUCCGAAGGAACAUCAGAGGCGAAGGCGGCCACCUGGACAGACACUGACGCUGAGACGCGAAAGCGUGGGGAGCAAACAGG
rnacentral:rRNA from 1 species